rnacentral:snoRNA from 1 species
AUCCUUUUGUAGUUCAUAAGCGUGAUGAUUGGGUUUUCAUGCACAUGCCUGAAAUGUGCCUCCCACAAAUCUUUUU